CCUGCAACAACGCCAGUACAGCGCGAGAAGAAAAAGCGGCAAUUUCAUCAAACUUUUCUGAAACUGUGCGCAAUCUGGUACCAACUCAAAAGACCGAAGACAGCCGACUCAUACUUCUCAGAAGAAGCAAACCCAUCACAGAUCCUAUUUGAAGCAACUUUGUACCACUUACAAGACCGGUUGGUGAACAGGGUCAUUCCCAAGAGAAGCAGCGGCUCAGUGGUUUCCACAGCACCGAGGAUCCAUAAAUCAAACGCUGGGCUGUGUAAUAUCAUAAAGUACUCCGAGAGGCUUCCAGGGCCCUGCUGCUGCGUAUGUGUGUAAUAAACUUAAGAAGCCAGCAGCGACGAACAACCGCAGCAGCUACAGACAGCAAUGACCACACACACCACCAAACACAAAGAAAAGCACAGGAAAGGUCUCUCAGAGCGCUGGAUCGCAACUGACUGAACGAGGCUUUUAAUCCAGCAGGAGACCAAACCCGUCCGGCGUCCGAUUCCAUCAGGCUUCACUGGAUUCAAAUCCAACUCAUGUGAGACAGAAAACACUGAAGCGCUGCA